rnacentral:rRNA from 1 species
GAUGAACGCUGGCGGCGGGCCUAAUACAUGCAAGUCGAGCGAAUAGACGAGGAGCUUGCUCCUCUGACGUUAGCGUCGGACGUGUGAGUAACACGUUGAUAACUGACCUAUAAUACUGGGAUAAUUUCGGGAAACCGGUUCUAAUACCGAGUAACAUGUUAAACCUUAUGUUUCAUCGUUGAAUGUCGUCCUUUCUGUCUCUUAUGUUUGUAUACUCGUCGCAUUAGCUAGUUGGUAAGGUAACGCCUUACCAAGGCAAUGAUGCGUAGCCGACCCGAGAGGGAGAUCCGCAACACUGGAAAUGGGACGAGGUCCAGAAUUGUAAGGGAGGCACGAGUAGGGAAUCUUCCGGCAGGGGCGGAAGGCUGAUGGAGCAAAGCCGCGUGAGUGAAGAAGGUCUACGGCUCGUAAAACAACGUUACUAGGGAAGAACAAAUGUGCAAGUAACAAUGAACGUUAUGACGGAACCUAAAAAGAAAGCCACGGCUAACUACGUG